AUGCCCUCCUUGUGCUCCCCGUCCUUCUUGUGCUCGCCGUCCUUCUUGUGCUCCCCGUCCUUCUUCUUGUGCUCCUCGUCCUUCUUGUGCUCGUCGCUGCCGCCGCCCAUGUGGAGCUUCUCCUCGAUCUUGUGCAUGAUGCCGGCCAUGGCGCUGCUGUUUCUGGCUACUUCUCUCCAAGGAAACUGGCGAUGCUAA
rnacentral:rRNA from 1 species